AUCAGAAUAGAUAAUUGUAUCCGACGAAGUCGGAUCGUUAGGCAUUAAGAUCUUGAAGAUAUUCCCAUCUAAAGUACAACCCAUCAAUCCCCAAACAAUAUUAUGAUUAUCUUUAUCCACCCGAAUAACUGAAUACUUUAAAUGGUUAGUUAAGGCAUUUGUUUUUGUUUGAGACACUGUAGUAAGAAUUGGCUGGAGCAUUUGUUCUCUGGUAGACGUGCAAACUUCACCCUCAACUUUGAAACAAGUUAAUAACCGGUCUUUGUCACAAGAAAACAAUAAUUUUUUUUGUGAAAUGUAAAAGCAAUCAAUGCCUAGUCUCGAUGAUGUGUCGCUGCAAACUAAAUUAAGGGAGUUGUUUUCACUAUCAUACUGGAACACGGCAACAGAAUCUCUUAAACUAGAAGUGUACACAUAGUCCUUAUACGUUGACAUCGAUACAAUGGGAGACCGAACAGGUAACUCACAAUCACUGUUGCAAAACUUCUUUGAGUCUAAGUCCAACAUCUUUACACCAAUCUUUCGUCCUGUUGCAUAACACAAUCCAUGUUUUCCGAUCGAACAAACGGAAUAAAUAGGGUCUUUCAUAUUAAUUGUGAUGACAUUGCGAAGUUCUAUAGCAUUGCUGUCAUGAUCUUUAUUCAUGGUAAGAAUUAACAAACGACCUGUAGUUAAUCCGUUUUUUCGUACCCCUGUUCCUAUACAAAGGUACCUAUAUUUUCUUUUUUGAUCGUCGGCUACAAUCCAAACUAAAUAAUCGUUAGGUGAUUAAAGUAAAGCUAACUUACAAGACAUAGAAUAUAAUAAUUCCUCCGGUUUGAAUAUUGGUUUACCUUUAAUAUCCAUUGAAGGCCAAUUGACAGGGAAAAGUCGCGAGCUGUGUAAUUGUUAGUAGGCACUAGAAACACGUAACUCACUUAGUC